CUUAAAUUUCGAAUAAAUAAAUUCGAGGCUAUUUAGUUCAAUGGCUUGUUAGCUUGUAGCUUGCUAGCUAGCUACAAGAGAGAAUAAUAGGAGGGAAAAGAUGACUAGGCGUGUUAUUUAAUGUAUGAUAAUGCUAAAAAAAAUUAAAGUCAUAAACAGGUUCCUAUGCUCUAACUAUUAAAGUGCUCAUUUUUAUUGAAUCCAAUAUCGCUGAUAUUAAUUUAUCGGUCGGGCCUGGAACCAAAUAACCGCUACAAACGAGGUACGACUGUAGACGAUAUGUAUAUGAUUGCUGUUUGGUGGUUGACUGUGGCUCACUAAUAGCCAUAAAAUAUUGAAAUACAAGUGAUAUGUUGUAUUCUGGCCACUAGUUGUCAAUUAUGACAAAACAGCGAUGACAGAUUACUGUCACACUGCGUGUAGUCGGCCAUAGCAUGGCCACCUUUUUUGUAUUGUAAUACACGUAGCUCACCAGCAGAUGGCAAUGUCGGAAUAUAACCCUAUUGACACAAAACUAAGUCAUACAGCUUAAACUUAAACGCCAAUAACAUUGUUAAAAUAAUUAAAAAAAUUAUAAUCUUGAUUAAUUAAAUUUUUGUCAACAUGCAAAACCAAAUAAAUCAUAAUAAAUAAUGCCAAUUCGUAGUGAAGUUUCUUUAAUUGGAAGCUUUGUCACUGAAAUGUGGUUCAAAUGAAGUUUAAGUGGUGUGUAUAUAUAAGUGCUGUCUGGCUUCAUUAGAAUGUUACUGUAAGGUUAUGACCUGAGAUAGUUUGGAGGCUAAAAUAGCCAUUUGUGUUUUGUUUUAUUUAGUUUUAUUGACCUCCCACGUUGACAAGUUGGUGGGAAUGUCCUUCUGGCGACGGCCACGGAUGUGUUGUUUAACCGUGGAAACAUCUCCACUGUCUCAAAUGUUUACUUAACUGCAGAGACGCUUUGGUCACAUGCCAGCCAGUGAGCAGAGAGCAUCCUUAUUUGGUCAGAGAGGCCUGUCACGGCGUCUCAACAAAAGAAGUCCCCGGUGUCUUUGCUUUUCAUCUUUUUCAUUUCCAAAUAGUCCUGUUCAUUUUAUUUUCCUUGUGCAAGGUUUUUAUUCACCUUGUAUUUGUCAUGAUUGGGGAUUUUUUCAGCACAUUGUUCAGUUUUUGAGGGAAGAGCCAUCCUUGGUUACAAACAGGAAGCAAUUUGCAUAUGUUUUGUGUGUGUGUAUGAGAUAAAAAAUAGAGAGAGGAGAUAACAUGUCAAGCAUGUAGAAGACGGGAAAGUCUUCAUUGAGCCUCCUUUUCAGGCGUCUCCACUCAGCACUUUCAGACUGAAUAAAUGAAAACAAGCAGUGACUCAACUUAAAGUACUUUAAUGGCAACGUUGUUAUUGUUUACGGUCAAAACCAUAUGCAUGCAAGAACACUUUUGACCGUUUUAUUUGAAAACACCAGAGCUAAAAUAAAACAAAGAGUAAUGUAACAAUUUGUACAUUAAAACAGUAGAAUGGAGGCUAAAAUUAGAACUCAAAUCUUAUUACAGCUAAUGCACAGUUUCCCUGCCAAGUUUGGAUUAUCUUGGAUUUUUCUCUUGCAAGAUUAUCCCUUUAAAAAAAAAAAGCUAGCUCACACUUGGAGAAAAAAAAGUGGUAAUACACACACAGAAGUGAGAGGCAAUUAUCACAAGCGACAUCCCAUAAUAGCAUGUGACUUGCAGCUUUUUAAAAUCAAACUCCUGCACGGGGAAAGUAUGCUUUUUGUAUGUAAACAUUGUUAGAAUUGAACAACAAUGUGUAAUCACAUGUAUGACUAAGUACAUGCAUGUUUUUUUCUUAAAAUGUAACAAUCUUGACUAAAAUGAUAUAAAAGUCAGCAAAAAUCAAUGAAGCAACAUUUACAUCACAAAAGUAGCAAUGUCCUGUCUUUCUUUUGUUUACCAGAUGCAUUUCACCAACCCAAAACACCAAAGAACAACAACAAAAGUCCUCCUCUGCUGAAAUCCUUUGACUUUGUGGAAGAUUAUAUCAAUUAAAAAAAAAUUAACUUGCAAAACGCAGACGCAGCUAACGUUUAAAGGAGGUGUUUCCGGGUAGGCCAAAAAAGACGGCCCAGGAGGGUCCUCUCAGACGUCCUGUGGAACGCUCUGGUCCCGGUAGCCUGCAUAGAAAGCAGACAAGAUAGAAGAUGCUCAUGAUCCAUCCCACCAUGAUGACAGCCGUCAGGAUCUGGAUGAGGGCGGCCGCCACGUUGAGCCAGAAGACGCAGCACACGCCUCGCUCGGGGAUCAGCUCGCUGCGGGCGCCGCACAGCACUGUGAAGGCCGAGAUGAAGGGCAAAACGAGUCGGGUUUGAAAAACACAAUGGAACUGGAGCUCAAGUUCAGUUCAGAUCGUUACGUGUAUAUGGCGACAUCUGGUGGACCAACACUGAAUGCACAUGCUGGCAAGGAGGCACCAGAUGCAGCGGCAGCUCCGUGGGAAGUUCAUGUCCCUCCAGCUUGACCUUAAUGAGGUGAUUGGCCAAGGCAAACUCCUCAUCGUCGAGCAUCCCGUCCUUAUCGAUGUCCGCCAGCUUCCAGAUCUUUCCCAGCACCGUGUUAGGCAGCUUGGACUUGACCAUCUCCCUCUUGGCGUUGGCCCCCGUCACUUUGCCGUUGACGGGCGACAGCGUGUAGAAGAUCUCGUCGUAGGCCGGCUUGUCGCGCGCCACCACCCACUCGGCCUCGUCGAUGCCCUCGCCGGCCCCCUCGCCGUAGCCGUGGCCGAAGGGGCCGUUGAGGGUGCCGUCGAAGGCGCCGCCCUUGACGACGGGGUUGGGGCGCUGGUUCUCCUCCUGCCGCACUAGCACCAUUAGGCCGGCGAUGUCGUGGGCCAGCAUGUCGUCCACCGACUCCAGGAGUUUGGAUUUGAGAGGCUGGAACUUGGUGAGGUCCUGAGCUUGGAGUUGGUCCUGGAAGAGAAUCAAUCACAUCACCGCUGAGCUGUUUACAACGACCC